rnacentral:tRNA from 1 species
UAGCUCAGUCAGUUGAGCGUGGCACUAGCAACGCUAAGGUCAUGGGUUCGAUUCCCAU